rnacentral:rRNA from 1 species
UACAGAGGGUGCGAGCGUUGUUCGGAAUUAUUGGGCGUAAAGGGCGCGUAGGCGGUGCGGUAAGUCACCUGUGAAAUCUCCUGGCUCAACUGGGAGCUUGCAGGCGAAACUGCCGUGCUGGAGUGUGGGAGAGGUGCGUGGAAUUCCUGGUGUAGCGGUGAAAUGCGUAGAUAUCAGGAGGAACACCUGUGGCGAAAGCGGCGCACUGGACCACAACUGACGCUGAGGCGCGAAAGCAUGGGGAGCGAACAGG